GGAGGGUGCGAGCGUUAAUCGGAAUUACUGGGCGUAAAGCGCACGCAGGCGGUUUGUUAAGCUAGAUGUGAAAGCCCCGGGCUCAACCUGGGAUGGUCAUUUAGAACUGGCAGACUAGAGUCUUGGAGAGGGGAGUGGAAUUCCAGGUGUAGCGGUGAAAUGCGUAGAUAUCUGGAGGAACAUCAGUGGCGAAGGCGACUCCCUGGCCAAAGACUGACGCUCAUGUGCGAAAGUGUGGGUAGCGAACAGGAUUAGAUACCCUGGUAGUCCACACCGGAAACGCUGGCUACUAGCUGUGUGUGUCUUUAAGACGUGCGUAGCGAAGCUAACGCGCUAAGUAGACCGCCUGGGGAGUACCGCCGCAAGGUUAAAACUUAAAUGAAUUGACGGGGGCCCGCACAAGCGGUGGAGCAUGUGGUUUAAUUCGAUGCAACGCGAAGAACCUUACCUACACUUGACAUGCUGAGAA
rnacentral:rRNA from 1 species